GGGCAAGCUGUGGGCUGGGGCUGCAGAGCCCAGGCUGGCGGGGAGGAGGCUGGGUGCAGAGACCCUCUGUGCGAGCUCCUGCACCCCUGGCAGGGCAGCAACCACUUCCACCGGCAGCUCAGAUGCCUGGCUGGGAACUAAAGUAGCUGAAAACAAUCAAUUCUGCAAAUGCCUGAGCAGUUAUUUGCCUGCACUGUUAGGGGACUUGCAUAUAAUUUCAGUAAAAUGCAAAAUACUUCCCUUUCACAGCAAGAUUAACUUGUUUUUUUCACUUUCAUAAUCUGAAAUGAGCUUACAACAAGAGUGUUUAAGACUACUUCAGUAAAAUCCUCUGAGCAUCCUCUGGAAUUUUCAUCCAUGAGAAACGUCUGCAUCCUGCAAGCUGGCAAACCAGCAGAAGAGCAGCCCUGUCACCCUUCACCCUGCCCAACCACAGACUGUGUGAUAAGCACAGGUCCUGCCCUGGGAAGGGGCAGCCAGCACCCUCACCCCUGUGCCGAGGCGAUGUUCCUGCUCUGGUUGGCACCAGGAGCGGCUGUGCAGAAACCCAGGACCACGCGUCCCUCAGGGAGCAAGCAGCAGUGCUCCCACAACUAUUUCCCAGUUGUUUCCCUCUGGACACAAAGGGAAAAUGCAUCCUGUAUGCACCCGUGGCCAGGCCAGCUCCUCACCUGCCCAGCCCUGGGUAACCCUCAGCAGGGCCCAUGCUUGGAGACAUCUGAGCUUCUCUAUCCAGAGCCUCACAUGGAUUAAAACCGAG
rnacentral:lncRNA from 1 species